GACGACGCUGACGAGAUCCUCCUCCGGCGACUGGUCCCGCUGGAGAUCCUCUGGCGGCGGCGCGGUUUCCGGAGUUCGGCGGCAAUGACUUCUAAUGUUCUUCAAACUGCAUGACACUGAGUUUAUGGCGGUGGUUGCUCAUCUGUUGGGUCGACAUUUAUUUGUGUGUUGGGUCGACAUUUAUUUAUGUGUGUGUUCUUGUUCGAGAAGAUUGCAUAACAUAAUUGCAUGACACCGAGUUUAUGUUAAAGACGGGGUUUUUAAUUUACUGAUUGUCCAUUAUCACGUCUUGGUAUGCAAAGAUUGAGUUUUUAU